GACUCCGAGGAUUUAGAUCCUUUUUGUCCAAAAAAUUUCUCAAGGAUGAGGAAGGAAAAUUUGUUGAAGCAGAACGGCCAAUGAAGUAUGCGGAGAUUAUUUCAGCCGAAGAAUGGGAUAACUUUGUCGCCAAACGAAGAAACGAAAAAUUCCAUGAAGUAAGCGACAAAAAUCGGAAAAGGGCAUCAAAACCCGCGUAUCCGUACAAAAAAGGGCGUACGGGAUAUGCACGGUUACAACAAAGAAUUCUAGCCGAGGAGAAAAGUGACA